UUACCACGGGAGGCAGCAGUAGGGAAUUUUCGGCAAUGGGGGGAACCCUGACCGAGCAACGCCGCGUGAACGAAGAAGUUAUUCGUAAUGUAAAGUUCUUUUGUCAGGGAAGAAAGAGGAAUUUGACGGUACCUGACUAAGAAGCCCCGGCUAACUACGUGCCAGCAGCCGCGGUAAUACGUAGGGGGCAAGCGUUAUCCGGAUUUACUGGGUGUAAAGGGAGCGUAGACGGCAUGGCAAGUCAGAUGUGAAAGCCCGGGGCUCAACCCCGGGACUGCAUUUGAAACUGUCAGGCUGGAGUGCAG
rnacentral:rRNA from 1 species